UUGAAACCUCAGAAAUAGUUU
ensembl:piRNA 21ur-42 ncRNA